ACAUUUGCCACAUAUUCAUGAAAUAAGACUCUUACUUCUUUUUUGUCUUCAAAAGUGGCACUAAAUCACAAUGAAGGAAGGGUAAUCUCAGGACUUUGAGCUCCUUAAGGGGCUGGCUCUUUUCUGUAUCCCCAACACUAUGGUAACUUUAUUUGAAUGAAUGAAUGAUUUAUUACCUGUAUCAGUCCAUUCUUGCAUUGCCAUAAAGAAAUACCUGAGACUGGGUUAUUUAUUUAUUUAUUUAUUUUUAUUUUUAUUUAUUUUAUUUUUUUUUUUUUGAGACGGAGUCUCGCUCUGUCACCCAGGCUGGAGUGCAGUGGCGCAAUCUCGGCUCACUGCAAGCUCCGCCUGCCGGGUUCACGCCAUUCUCCUGCCUCAGCCUCUCCGAGUAGCUGGGACUACAGGCGCCCGCCACCACGCCCGGCUAAUUUUUUGUAUUUUUAGUAGAGACGGGGUUUCACCGUGUUAGCCAGGAUGGUCUUGAUCUCCUGACCUCGUGAUCCACCUGCCUCGGCCUCCCAAAGUGCUGGGAUUACAAGCGUGAGCCACCGCGCCCGGCCGAGACUGGGUAAUUUAUAAGAAAAGAGGUUUAAUUGGCUCAUGGCUCUGCAGGCUGUACAGGAAGCAUGGCGGCAUCUGCUUCUGGGGAGGCCUCAAGGGACUUUUACUCAUGGUGGAAGGCAAAGUAGGAGCAGGUAUGGAUUAGUGGAGAGAAACCAUGGAGAAAUAGUAAGAGUAAGGGAGGGGAUAAAUACUUAGUGACUUGCAUUUUGGUGGUGACCAAGACUAAUAGGCAUCCCAAUCUAUAUAAAAAUAUCUUGAUAAUAUCUUGACAUUGAAGGUUUUAAUGGAAGGUGGAACAGAAACUACAUGAGUUUCUCUGGAUGACGAGUGGAGAUUGAGUAUAAGGAAGUGCUUCUUGAACCUAAGUAUAACUUAGAAUCUCCUGAAGAACUUUUAUAAAAUUCAGGUAUCCUGGCCUCAUUCCCAACCAAUUAAAUCAGAACCAGUGGGAACAGACCUGAGCACUGGUAAUUUUUGGCAGUUGUAUUCUCUUUAAAAUCCCCAGGUGCAGUCAGUACUGAGAAAUAUCGGUAUAUGGCAGUGAUUCUCAGAGUUGAUCCCCAGACUAGUAGUGUCACUAUGACUUGGGGACUUGUUAGAGAGCACAUUAUCAAGCCUUGCCCCAGAUUUACUGAAUCAGAAACUCUGGAGGUGGAGCCCAGCAAUCCCUGUUUUAACAAACUCUCUGGGUGAUUACGAUAAAUGUUAAAGUUUGAGAACCACUGGUAUAUGGUGGGGGUGGGAGCAUAGGGGGAGUAGCUACACUGUAUCUAUAAGUACCCUUCAUGGUCAGCAGAAGUUUCGUUCCCAUCAGCAUUUUAUGAGAAUUCUUACUGCGUCUCACCAAAUUCUUUUUACAUACGAUUUAUAGCAGAAUUAGAGGCAUAAAAAACAGGGGGAAAAAUAAACAACAUUAUCUUACUUAAAACUGAACAUUUUUCAUGUUUGUAAUUAACACAAAACUGGCGUGCUACAGUUCAAAUUGAUUUCCUUGAUUUUAACCUGAAAUGAAAAUGGAGAUCAGCCAGUUACCAUUCUGCGGAGAGACAAACACACUGAACAAUUGCAAAAAGGGUAACAAAUAGUUCAUCCAGCCUGCUUUUAGAAAAAUCACAGAAUAAAGGUAGUGUUUCAGUUACCAACUUUCAACCCAGUAAUAGGAACAUAUGCAAUAUUUGAUCAUAGUCUCUAUUUUUAUUUUUAAAGAGGAAAGAAAACAGAAACAAAAUUUAAAAAAGAAAGAGAACCACCCUAAAAAAAAAAGUUGAGAAAAAGGAAACUAAUAAGAGGAAAUUCCUCAAACUAAGCAAGUUUAAAUAUUGGCAGUAUGUGGAGUGAAACACACACAGAAAUGUGUAUACUUCCUGAAAAUGUUAGCUGUUAAAUGAAAGGAAUCAUGUUUCUGUAGUUUCUUAAAUAGGACUUGGCAUAUUCAAGGUGGUCCAUAAGUUUUAAAUAAUAACAAUUUGCUCUCCAAUCUGGCCUCGUUUAGCUUCCUUUUUCACUGUAACAUCUUGACAUUCUUCCAGUGCUUAGUUUGCAGAAUUCACUGCAAAAAAAAAAAAAAAAAGAAAGAAAGAAAAGAAAAGGCUAAGAAUAAACAUAUGUAAGAAAAACAAAAAGCAAAAUAAAAGAGCAGCUUCUUCAAGCUUGGGCUCAACUAACAGAUAAAUCAUUUAUACUUAAAAAAAAAGUCUUCUCACUUCAACAUACAAACCAUUAAUCCAGAUCUCCAUUAUUGCUUACUUAGACUGGUAACAGAGUUUCCUUCCUCCUUUUAUUGCGCUCUGCUGAAAGAUUAAUCCUCUCACAGCAAAACUCAAAAGCUUUCAGUAACCUAUCCCCCACUGCUGGCCCCUGAAGUACAGGCAAGAUCAGGCACAGGCCACAGAUGCUCUGGGGAAUCAGCUCUAGGAAAAAACUGUGAGAAACCCCUGGAGAUGGCCUAAAGGCCAUCACAAACUUUGGGUGGGGAGGAAUGCAGAGUUAGAAUAAUAGAUAGAGUGCUGCUAGGUUCUGCUCUCCUUCUCUCUCCUCUUUCCUUUGGACCAUUGCCUGUCCCAUAACCACUGUGAGUCAGGAGGCAGCAGCAAUCACCCACGCUAAAAAGGGGAGGCUGACCAGCUUCCCUGAGCACUCACUCCUCCAGUCCUCCUCAUGUGUGGUAAAUGAUGCAUCACUUAUGAGAUGACUACCAGCUCCCCUUCAAAGGCUUUAGAGGAGAAUCCCCAGCAGAGUAAUGCCUAGUGGAGGGGCAACAGAUGGGUUGUUGACUAUAGUUCCAACACCUAAGGGACUCCCUGGGACUCAACUCCUUAAUCUUAAAACCAUAAGGAAGACAGAAAGUAGGACCCAGUAUUGGUAUGUCACAUUGGUACCUGAUAACUCCAGGGGAACAUCAGCUCACAGCUUAAAAUUCCUGAGGUUAGAACCACUGUAAAAAGAAAAAUACACACUGAACAUACACGAUAUCAAGCAGAAAUACUGGAACAAACAAAUUAAGAAUUUAAAGUAAGCACAACCACGCUGGGCAUGAUGGCUCACGCCUAUAAUUCCAGCACUUUGGGAGGUGGAGGUGGGCAGAUCACUUGAGGUCAGGAGUUCAAGACCACUCAGGCCAACAUGGUGAAACUGUCUCUACGAAAAAUACAAAAAAUCGUUGGGCAUGGUGGUGGGCACCUGUAAUCCCAGCUACUCGGGAGGCUGAGGCAGGAGAAUCGCUUGAACCUGGGAGGUGGAGUUUGCAGCGAGCUGAGAUUGCACCACUGUACUCUAGCCUGGGUGACAGAGUGAGACUGUCUCAAAAAACUGAAACAAAUAAGCACAACCAAUAUUGUCAAAAAGCUACUGGUAAUAGGAAGUGGGAAAAAAGUCAUAAAGACAGACAGACAUUAUACAUAACGUAUAAAAAAUUAUGCUUCCAAGUAAGACUCCUAGAUGGGAUAAAUAGCAAGCUGAAUGCAGCCAAAGGAAAAAUUGUAAAACUGAAAGAGCAGACUGAGGACAUCUUUCAGAAGGCAGAAAAAAGGAUAAAGAGAGACAUACAGAAAUAAAAAUUUAAAUGUCAUCGAGGAUAAAAGUAGACAUGCUGACAUCCUGAAAACAGGAGUCCAAAGGAAGACAAAAUAAAGGGAGGACAAAUAUUUAAGAGAACAAUAAAAACAAUUAUCUCUAAAUUAAAGAUAAAAGAAGUCAGAUGGAAAAGGUUGCAUGCCAAAUAGGAGAGAUUAAGAACCUAGAAAGAUUAUUGCACAUUUAAGAACAAAGAGAAAGAGAAAAUACUAAAAGCUUCCAGGAAAAAAAGAGCAUAUCUCCUCCAAAGAUACAAGAAGAUUUGGCAGCAGAUUUCUUAACAGCAACACUGGGGGCCAAAUAUUUGGGGAUUUUCCAGAUAUCAUUCUGUUACCGAUUUCUAAUGUAAUAACAUUGCGGUCCGAAAACACACUUUAUAUGACUUAAACACUUUUAAAGUUAUUGAGACAUUUUAUGGUGCACAAUGUGGUUUAUCUUGAACAGACACUUUACCAAAGAAGGUAGACGGAUGGGAAAUAAGCACAUGAAAGACAGACUACACCAAUAGUCAUUAGGGAAAUAGAAAUUAAAACCGUAAUAAAAUACCACCACACACUAACCAUACCAACUGUUGCCAAAGCUUUAAAGGAACUAGAACUCUAACAUGCUGUUAGUUGGAAUGUAAAAUGACUCAACCACUUAUAUAGUUCAAAUCUCAUGCUGAAAUGUGAUCCCCAAUGUUGGAGGUGGGGCCUAGUGGGAGGUAUUUUGAUCAUGGGGCGGAUACCUCAUGAAUGGUUUAGCACCAUCCCCUUGGUGAUGAGUGAGUUCUUUAUUAGUUUGUGUAAGAGCUGGUUGUUUAAAGGAGCCUGGCAUCUCUCUUGCUACUGCUUUCACCAUGUGACACACCUGUUCCCCCUACACCUCAUGAGUAACAGCUUCCUGAGGCCUCAUCAAAAGCUGAGCAGAUGCAAAGUGCCAUGCUUGUACAGCCUGCAGAACUGUGAGUCGAAUAAACCUCCUUUCUGCAUAAAUUACCCAGCUUCAAGCAAAGCAAACAGAUUAAUAUGACUACUUUGGAAAUAGUUUGGCAGUUUCCCAAAAAGGUAAAUAUACAGGCCAGGGGCAAUGGCUCAUAUUUGUAAUCCCAGCACUUUGGGAGGCCGAGGUGGGCAGAUCACAUGAGGACAGGAGUUUAAGACCAGCCUGGUCAACAUGGCGAAACCCCAUCGCUACUAAAAAUAAAAAAAUUAGCUGGUGGCACAGGCCUGUAAUCCCAGCUACUCAGGUGGCUGAGGCAUGAGAAUCACUUGAACCUGGGAGGUGAAGGUUGCAGUGAGCCGAGAUCAUGCCACUGUACUCCAGCCUCAGCAACAGAGCAAGACCCUGUCUCCAAAUAAAUAAAUAAGUGAAAUAUACACCCUCCAUAUGAUCCAGCAUUCGACUCCAAAGAAUUACCUCAGGAGAAAAAAAAGCAUAUGUUCACAAAUGACUUGUACAUAAACGUUCAUAGCAAAUUUAUUUGUAAUAGUCCAAACUGGAAAUAAUCCAAAUGUCUAUUACUCGGCGAAUGGAUAAACAAAUUUUAGCACAUUUAUAUAAUGAAAUACUAUUAGCAAUAAAAAGAAUAAACUAUUGAUCCAUGCAACAACAUAAGUGAACAUCAAAAUAAUUAUGCUAUAUAGAUAAAAGAGAGUACAUACUGUUUUAACCAUUUAUAAAAAAUUCUAGAAAAUGCAACUAAUCUAUAGUGAUAGAAAGAAGGUGGGUGGUUGCCUGGGAACAGGGGAAACAGGCAGGCAGGCGUGGGUGAGCAGGGUUACAAAGGAACACAAGGAAGUUUGGCGGUGGCGGGAGGGGGAAGGUAGAGAUAAGUGUGCUGAUUAUCUUGAUUAGGGUGAUGGUUUCAAGAGUAUAUACCUAUGUUAGAACUUUCCAAAACAUACAUUCUAAAUAUUUGCAGUUUAUUGUAUGUCAGUUAUACCUUAAUAAAGCUGUUUUUUAACAAAAAACAUAAUAAAUGAAAAAUAAAAUUUUUAUCUGAUAAAGACAUAUGAAAUUAAGAUGCUGUUUUUAUUUUCAAAAACGAACAAAGAGAGAGAAAAAUAUAUUUAUAGCGUAAUAAUCCAGGACUAAAAUUCUAAAUAAUAUCAACACAGUAGUGGAGAGGAGGAGACAAAAAGACAUGAGUUGGUUGCAUCAGGAUGAGUCUAUUCAGGAGGCAGAAACAGAGUUAGCCGGGUUCUAAAGAACUGAAAGUCUAAAAGGGAACCAUUACUAUCACACCAACCCUAUUCUCCCCAGUAGUAGCAGUAUUGUUCCAAUAGCAACAGUUGGUUCCAGUUUGCAGUAAUUCCAAUGUUCCCAGAACCAGCCUCAACAUACCCGAAGAAGUCAUAGUUCCAACUCUUUGGGGCAACUCACCAAAUUUAUAGAUUUUUUUUUUUUUUUUGAGACAGGGUCUCACUCUGUUGCCUAGGCUGGAGUGCAGUAGUGCAAUCACAGUUCACUGCAGCUUCAACCUCUGGGGCUCAAGCAGUCCUCCCACCUCAGCCUCCCAGGUAGCUGGAACUACAGGUGCGAGCCACUACGCCCAGCUGAUUAUUUGUAUUUUUUGUAGAGACGGGUUCUCCCUGUAUUGCCCAGGCUGGUCUUGAGCUACUGAACUGAAGUGUUCACCUGCCUCAGUCUCCCAAAGUGCUAAGAUUACAGGCAUGAGCCACCAUGCCCAGCCCAAAUUUAUAAAUUUUAAUAAUUGUAACAUCCUCUUAGAUCUGUGACCUUAAGCAACUCAUGCAACCUCUCUGAUUUUCUCUGUUGAGUUUCCUAACAUCAAAAUGGAGUGACAGCUAUUGUGGUUGCCGUUGUUAUUACUGACCGCCCUGCCUCAUCCUUAUUUUAUCUUUUCUUUUUUUUUUUUUUUUUUUUUUUUUGAGAAGGAGUCUUGCUCUGUCGCCCAGGCUGGAGUGCAGUGGCGCAAUCUCGGCUCACUGCAAGCUCCGCCUCCCGGGUUCACGCCAUUCUCCUGCCUCAGCCUCUCCAAGUAGCUGGGACUACAGGCGCCCGCCACCACGCCCGGCUAAUUUUUUGUCUUUUUCAGUAGAGACGGGGUUUCACCGUGGUCUCGAUCUCCUGACCUCGUGAUCCGCCCGCCUCGGCCUCCCAAAGUGCUGGGAUUACAAGCGUGAGCCACCGCGCCCGGCCGCCUCAUCCUUAUUUUAAAUGACGUGAUGCCUUUUGGGUAGAAGGGGGCUGUUGCAGUUUUCCUGUUGAAAGGGGAGUGAGUUGCAACUGCCCUGUGAUUCCAUGGAGACUUGUGUGUGUGUGGAAGGCUGGAGAAACAAAGGUUGCAGUAAGUUUGUGACAGAAGCUUCCCUGAGACACCUGGAGACCCUUUGGCUUUGAGCAGAGCUGCUCCUGGACCAAGGAGAGCAAGCCUUGGGGACUAAACUGAAGUCGCCGAGAACCCGACUACUAAACCGUGCUGAGCGGACAGCCUCUGGGGACUGCACGCAGGCAGACGCUGGGAUGUCUCAGGUGGAUGAAAUCAAGGCUUGCGGCUGACAACAUAUAAAUCAUGCCAUAUGAUGCCAAUUCUAAAAUGCCAUUAAUUCUCCUCCAUUAACCCCUGCAGAGUAUUCACUGACUGCUGGAACUAGAGCAUCACUGAGAAGCAAGAGAUGGACUGACCUAACUAGAGGGAGAGCUGCCGUCCAGGAUGAUGCCACCAUCGCAGGAGCAAUGUGAGGAAAGUGGAAUGAACUUGGACUUUGAAGGCAAACUAACCUGGAAUCAAAUGCUGGUUCUGCUGUUUGCAAGUGUGAUCUUUGGGUGUGCUUCCUAAUCUGUGAGCUUCAACUUCCUCCUCUGUAAACCAAGAUCAAAGACAAACAGAGCAACCUACUUGUCUGGUACCCAUCCCCUUGGCAGAACACUCCUCUGAAGGAUGACAGUUUGGCUGUGCCAGGGAAGAGCUGCCCACACCAAAUGAGCCUUCAUAGCAACUAUCUGAUGAGGAACUCACUGGCCUACCUUUCCUUGACAGCUGGGGCCUGCCAGCCUUGAAGCACGACUCCACAACGCCACUACCCAAGGUCAUGGAGGUUGCUGCUGAUGAGCAAGCUGUUUUAUAUUUAAUCCAGGCUUCUGCUUGGAGAGGAAGAAGGUAGAGGAGCCAGCGAAGGUUUGUCUGAAUGAUACUUAAAGAAAAAACACUGGUAGCAGUCACAAAACUUUAAAAAUUAAAGUGCCAACGAGGUGGCUUUUGGUGGCCAGAUGAAAGCUGUUAACCCCAGCUUUUACAAAUGCUGGGCUUUUGAGUAAGAGGAGAUUGAGACCUCUUACCAUUGUAGCAGCAAAAGCAUCCACGGCUAGUGUUUUCCAAGCUCACUGCUACUUGCAGUCUAGCAAUGUUGUGUCUCCUGAAAUUCCUACCUUUCCUUGAUGGUUGUAAAAGAAGUACCAAUUUAUUAAGCUCCUAAUAUGUGCCAGAUGCUCCAUAUAUGUUACUUUUGAUCUUCACAACCACUCAGCAACUUACUGCUUCUCCUCACUACCAAUUACAUCGAUGAUGAAAUUGAAGCAGAGUUGUUUGCCUAGGAUUACAGAGCUAGGAGGGACCAGAGUUGGGAUUCUCCCUCAGUUCUAAUACACAGUAUGCCACAUUUCCUGUCGAGUAGUAACAAAGCUUCUAAGAAAUCUGAGUUUUCAUUUGUUAAAUGAAUUUUUAAGAAAUGAAAAUUUUAAGAAUUUUUAAGAAAUGUAGACAGGAGCACUAAGUGCUCAAUAGUUUAAUGUUAAUAAUGGUACAAGUAUAUAACCAGUUUCUCAUGCACUGGCAUAACAUUCUUCAGAGGGUACACCAGGGCUGGAUGAGUAUGUGAACCCAAAAAUAUCUGAGACAGGUCUCAGUUAACUUAGAAAGUUUAUUUUGCCAAGUUUGAGGACAUGCACCCAUGACACAGCCUCAGUUGGUCCUGACAACAUGUGCCCAAGGUGGUUAGGGCAAAGCUUGUUUUUAUACACUUUAGAGGGAAAGGAGAUAUCAAUCAAUAUAUGUAAGAUGUACAUUGGUUAUCUCCAGAAAGACAGGACAACUUAAGCAGGGAGGGGGCUUCCAGGUCAUAUGUAGGUGAGAGAUAAAUGGUUGCAUUCCUUUGAGUUUCUGACUAGCCUUUCCAAAGGAGGCAAUCAAAUAUGCGUUUAUCUCAGUGAGCAGAGGGGUGACUUUGAAUAGAAUGGGAGGCAGGUUUGCCCUAAACAGUUCCCAGCUUGACUUUUCCCUUUAGCUUAGUGAUGUUGGGGCCCCAAGAUUUAUUUUCCUUUCACACUUCUUCAAUUUUCUUUUUAAAAAUCUUUUGAAGAAAGCAUUUUAGAAGAAAAUGAGUCUGUGCUCUCAGGGCUAGGAUAGUUUAUUCCUACAGGGGUAGGUCCCAAGUUAUUAGGAAAGUUCAUUUUUAGCAGGUUGAGAAGUCUCAUGUCCUGUGAAGAGAAAAUAGUAGGAUGAAGGGAGAAAAACAACAAACAAGAGAACAAUCCUUGAAAAUCUAUAUGGACCACAUUACUUUGAAGUCCAUACAUCCGUAGGUAGGUAUGAAAGUGGCUUAUGUAUCUAAAUAGAUUGCUUUUAUUUUCUUCUGAAGUUUAAGUUGUCUAGAUUCAGUUUGCAGGACUUUAGAAAGUACAGCUUAGUUUUCAACUAUUUCAAAUUAGGAAAAAUGGGGUGAGGGGAAGGAAAUGAAGGAAAAAAAUUGAAAACAUUAUUUUGGAGACUUGUAGCCAGGAAAAAUAAGAAUUCAGUCUAAACUGUAGAAAAUAAUAAAAAUAGAAAAACAUUAGGCAAGACUAAAAUCUAACAACAGGUGUACUAUAGUUUUUGAAACAUAUUUUUUCUCUCUCUAGUUUCCCAUUUUUACUAAAGAUAAAUCAUAGAAGAACCAAUUUGCUUUAUUAUACUUGGCCAGAUUAUUUGUAUGAAGUGAAGCAAGAAUAAUUAUUUUUCACAUAGGCUUUUAAAAUUAGCUUUGAUGGACUUCUUCCAUAGAAGCAAUCUCAGAUAAGGCUUUUUUAAAGCCAAGCCCAGCCACGGAUUUGUACCAUCAAAUACCUAUGAGUUGGGUGAAUUAUUCUCCUUUUGAGUCCCAACAUAAUUUAGGGCUCUUGGGCCUGUCAGAAAGUGACAUUCUUUACUUACCACAGGUCAGGAACACUGUUCAGGGACUGUGCAGACAAGGUAUGAGGCCAGUUUCCCCAAGAAUUUUUUAUUGGCUCUAUAAGUCAAGUUUAAUACCUUAAAGGAAAGCACACCAUUCCAGCCAAAGACUGUAAAAUAACCAGUUUCUCCAAUUGUGUCCUGUUACAAAUAAAAACAGAUUCUUAUUUCACUUAUGCAAAUAACCAUAUUGCCAUAAAUCACGAAUACUUACAAAUAGUUUCCAAAUUCUGGAGAAAUCAGGUAGAGAGAAACAAGCUCCAAAUUUUGUUCAUAGGAGUAUACUUGUUAAAAGCUGUCAAUAGCUCAAAAAAAAAGUUUCCUUGACUCUGAAAAACAAAACAAAGGAUCAGCAACGUUUUGUGCAAAAAGUCAAAAAGAUUACUUCAGUCUUCUAUUGGUUCAGUCCAUGCAGUUAAUUUCUGUUCUGCUUGAUAUUUGUGAACAUUUCAGCUCUCCAUGAGUCCUGAAAGUUUUUCCUCUUUUCUAAUGUCACAAUCUCCAAAGUUAUCAGAAAACUGCAUUCAAGGACACGUGUUAAGAGUUUUAUAGCUGAUUAUAAAACUACCUUCAAAAGAGGAACAAAACAAGACAACAAUUGUCCAUGGAUGACAAAAAGUUUUAGGGCAGCCACAGUCAAAGACACCAUUGACAAGAAAAUUUGUUACCUCUGUGGCAUACAAUAAUUUAACAUAACAAUUAUAAUUACUGAUAACAUACACUAAGUCAUGUCAGAAUUUUAGGAGUUUCCUAUUAUUUUGGAACAGAUACCAAUAACACACUUAUACAAAUACAGCCCAAAGAAAACUAAAUACCAUUUCAUAUUUCACAAUGCUUCCUGUAUAAUUUUUAUACCAAAUAAGCCAAAUAUGUCAUUUUUGGACUUUAGGGAACAUAAUAUCUUAAAGGAUUAAUUAGGUCAGAAAAAGACAUAAUUUAUAAUUUGAUUUUGGAAAGUUUGUCAAAUAUCAAAGAUUGAAAACACUUGAUAUCACAAAAUAAGAUCGCAGGUCAUUGUAAAAAGUCAUUUAUUUAACCAAAGUGAUAACUCAAGGAUUAAAAAAAAAAAAAAGGCAAAAACUUUCAUUAUUUUAGAGAGGAGAUUUAAUUUCCCAAACAAGCCCUAAUAAAAACAGCAUGAAGCCAAUUAAAUUUGCUUUCCAAAAUUUUAUACACAAUCUAUAAAAUUUUAAUCCUGACCAUAAGAUAUAACUUCAAUAAGCCCUUUAUAACCUUUAUAACCUUUAUUAAGGAGUCGGUCAAUGUUUCCAGAAAACCUUGUUAAUCCUACACAGGGUACCAUAUGAUGGUCUUGCAUCAGUAUGCCUUUGACAUUAACAGUUAAUUUAUAGAGAAACUGAACUUAUUUUCUCUAUCAAAAUCAGUCCUUACAAUCUUAAACACACACCUCUUCCACAAAACAGUCCCUGGGCCUUGAGGAGUUGAGUAGCUUUAAUUUCUGGCCUUGUGUUUUAGGAAUGCAGUUUAUUUUGAUUGACAUCUUCUACCAGGCCUGAAGAUGAGGCUUUAAUUACUGUCAGUGUUUAAGAUUUAGCAAGACUUGGUGUCCUUUUUAGACCCAGGAGUCAAAGCCCUGUAACUCAAUGUCACAAGUACUUUAAAAGCACAUACAGAAAGAUACACGGAUGUAAUAUCUUUAAUUUUUAAAAAAUUUUCUUUUAAUCUCAGUUUUUUUCUAAACAAACCAAAACUUAAUAAUAAUGGCAUAGGAAUUAUUUCAAUAAAAUGUAAAAUCUGUUAGUCAGUUACCAAAAAGCAAAACAAAAGACCUUCUGCAGUGCACAAAAUAUUAUGUUGGAAGAAAACAUUUCCUUUAGACCUUUAUUGUUAGCAUCAGGCCACAACAAACAGAAUUCGAGGGGAAAAAAACUCACAUGAGCUGAAAAUGAGAUGAAGGUGAGCAUUACUAUUUUACACCUUUUGAAAGGGGAGAGAAAACCAAAAAUGGUGAGAUGCAAUAAAAGUUGAACUUUGGGUUAAAAAAAUUAAAAUGUCUUACAAUUUAUUAAGAGUAAAUCCAGCAAGGCAUGGUGGCUCGUGCCUGUAAUCCCAGCACUUUGGGAGGCUGAGGCAGGCAGAUCACGAGGUCAGGAGUUCGAGACCAGCCUUGCCAAUAUGGUGAAACCCUGUCUCUACUAAAAAUACAAAAAUAACGUGCCACUGAACUCCAGCCUGAGUGACAGAGCAAGAAUCCAUCUCUGAAAAAAAAAAAGAAAAAGAGUAAAUCAAUCUCCUAAGAAAAUUUUAUUGUUCUAAUCAAUUCUUUAGUGUAUAAGUGUGUUUUUUUUACAUCAAACCCAAUUUCUAGAAAGACCAUUAUAAUUUCCCUUUAAUCAUAUACAACUUGAUCAUAUAAAAGUUUUUUUUUUUUUGAGACAGACUCUCACUCUGUCACCCAGGCUGGCAUGCAGUGGCACAAUCCUGGCUCACUGCAAUCUCCACCUCCCAGGUUCAAGCAAUUCUCCCUACCUCAGCCUUCUGCAUAUCUGGGAUUACAGGCACCUGACACCACACUUGGCUAAUUUUUUUGUAUUUUUUAGUAGAGAUGAGGUUUCACCAUGUUGGCCAGGCUGGUCUUGAACUCCUGACCUCAGGUGAUCCACCUGCCUCGGCCUCCCAAAGUGCUGGGAUUACAAGUGUGAGCCACCGUGCCCGGCUGAAAGUUGUUUUUUUUUUUUUUUAAAUAAAUCCUCUUAUUGUGACUUACACAGAUGACUCAUGACAUGCUUGGACUUUCUGAUUUGUCCUGAACAUCCCUCUUUCUUAAACAACCAGUCAUCUUAUUCGAGAACUAAAUUUACCAUACAAGAUUCUUUCUCAUAUAAAAUUAUUUCUCUUUGAGCUUUCUUAGCAAAAAAUACCUUUUAUUUCUGCAACUUUCUUUACAUCUGCCUCAUUUCCUGGUUUCUUUUAUCUUGUUUUAUAUAUAACCUUAAAAUAAGCUUUGAAUUUGACAAAAAUUGUUCACCUUUUAAAAAGGACACAUUUUGUUUUUUAGAAAAAAUAUUUUCCUAUAAUAUAUUUUCAUUGUAAAAUACCCAAAUAAUGAAAUAUCCAUUAUUUAAUCUAAUGCAACUUUAGAUUCUAAAUUAUGACACGUUUAUCUAUAAGUAUUUAUCCCAUUACAUUUACCUAAUUAUUUUAAUUGUUUACCUAGAUUAUUUAUGAAAACUGUGAUAGUCAUCAUUUAAAGUUAUGAAACUCACCAUUGCAAGAUUAUAACUGACACAGUGAAAAAGAUAUGACCUAACUGACUCCCUCUUGCCUCUAACCUCCAAAUUAUCCUUGUUCAUUCCUGGGCAUAGGCCGAACUAACUGUGGAAGGAACUUAGUUUAGUUUAGCUUUGAAACAAAGAUAACAGUCAUUUCCCAAGAGAAACCUUAUUGCCUGUGGACUAGACUCCCUAAGGCCACAAGAUUAGAAGUUAUGGUAAUUUUACUAAAUAAUUCAAGAUGUAGCUAUUUUCAUUAAACCAAUAUCAAUGUCUUAUUUAUUAAAAAUUAACACAAACAAAGAUCAUUCUGUUUUAGGCUGGGUUUAUACUUUCGUAACCCUAUGCCAAAUUUUGACACCUUAUAGUAUUUGGCAGGGAUAAAUAUGAAAUGACUUGAUCCAUAAAUGCAAACAAAAAUGUAUGCUGGCAAUUCUUAAGACAUUUCUAAUAUUAUUUUGCCAAUAAUUUUAAAGCUAGCUUAUUUAUUACAGAUUUUACUUAAAUCACGUAAACUUGAAAAAGCAUUUGGCUAGUCUUCUUUUUUCUGAUAAAGCAUUUGAUUUCAGCACCUUUAUUUUUCUGUAAGCCAAUUAAUUACAGCUCUUUUGUAUAUUUUUAGUAGUGAAAGGUGUACAUAACACAUAGAUACAUAGAUGUAUUAGGCAUACUGGUAGAAGCACAUCUUAUAGAUUCCUAAGACCUCCUUUUGUUUUCCCCUGUCUUAGACUUGCAAACUCUUGAUAACCUGUUUCAUUAGCCUGGCAGCUGUCAGCUAAAUAGCCCUAAACUUGCAUAUUGAAGGAAACAACUCUUAGAUGAAAAAUCAGAUAGCAAAAUUUACAUCUCAAGGUACAGACAGAAAAAGUCUAGUGGUGCUAAAGGGAGACUAAAGAUGGAUGCCAAAUCAAACAUAAAAUUAUAGAACUCUAUCAUAGGAUUGUAUGAGGAGACCAAUUUUAUUCAGAAAGGGAUUAUUUCUUUUUUACCUAGAUCUCUGAAAUCUGGGCAGAGUCCACACUGAAUCCUGGGUCUCCAAAAAGGGAGAAUUAUUAUGAGGCUAGAUCAUGUAAUGCUUUUUCAGUGCACUUAAAACAAUUUUUUUUAAGCGAAGACAUUUCAAAGUGUCUAAAUUACACUCUUCCUUAAAAACUGAAGAGUAGCCUCUGUUGCAAUACCUAUUUUAGUCAAUAAAUCAGGUAACACAAUACAAAUGCAAGCAGUUUGAGAGCUGAUACAAGUUGUCUGUUUACACUCUUGGAGUUCCAUAAGGAAAAACGAGUUUCUCCCCAAUAGGGAGUCUGGUGCUUUCUCCAUUUUCUUUAAGGAACCCCAGGCUAUUAUAAACUAUUUUAGGCCCCUCAUGCAGCAGAGGGUGCAAGAGAAAGGAGAGACAACAGAAGUAAAUGAAGAAAACAGAAUUCAGCCAACUGAGAAGAAAAAAAUCUUUUGCUCAAAAAAAGAGACGAAGUCCUAGAAGAAAAACAAACAAACCAUGAUGUCC